AAAUGGAUUUAACUCGAUCACAGGGAUAUUAUUGCUUCAAAUUUUGGACUUUUCUCUUCCGUGAGCCAAUCAAACUUAAGACUUUUAUACGAAGGUAACUGCAGCUACAAAGUCAAACAUGAUAUCCAUUACAACACAACAAAAAAAUCCAUCUAUAUAUAUAUGUACAUCUGAUCAUAUAUUAUAUAUCAAAUCAAAUUUCAAAAGCAAAUUACAGUAUAAACAAAAGGAUAUGGCUUCAUCUUGUCCCGUUAUAGGUAAGAAUUCUUGGCCUGAGCUUUUGGGAACAGAAGGGAAGGCUGCAGUGGAAAUAAUCGAGAGAGAGAAUCCGAAUGUGAAAGCAAGCAUUGUGUUGGAGGGAUCGUUUGUGACCGCUGACAUUCGCUGCGACAGGGUUCGUGUUUGGGUUAACACAAAUGGGAUUAUCAUCUCGGUUCCCAAUGUUCGUUAGAUCUGCACAAGUUGAUCAUCAGCAUCAUCGAU